GUCUAUGGCCAUGCCACCCUGAAUAAGCCCGAUCCUGUCUGAUCUCGGAAGCUAAGCAGGGUCGGGCCUGGUUAGUACUUGGAUGGGAGACCACAUAGGAAGACCAGGUGCUGUAGGUG
rnacentral:rRNA from 1 species